rnacentral:rRNA from 1 species
CUCAGAACGAACGUUAGCGGCGCGCCUAACACAUGCAAGUCGAGCGAGAAGGAAGCAAUUCCUGUAAAGCGGCGCACGGGUGAGUAACACGUAGGUAAUCUACCUCGAAGUGGUGGAUAACCUUCCGAAAGGAGGGCUAAUACAGCAUGAGACCACGGUUUCGAAAGAGAUUGAGGUCAAAGCGGGCCACUAUACAUAAGCUCGCGCUUCGAGAUGAGCCUGCGGCCCAUCAUGGUAGUUGGUAGGGUAAUGGCCUACCAAGCCGAAGACGGGUAGCUGGUCUGAGAGGAUGAUCAGCCACACUGGAACUGAGACACGGUCCAGACUCCUACGGGAGGCAGCAGUGGGGAAUCUUGCGCAAUGGCGAAAGCCUGACGCAGCGACGCCGCGUGAGUGAUGAAGGCCUUCGGGUUCGUAAGGCUACUGUGGUAGGGGGACGGAAGUAAGGGUU